rnacentral:rRNA from 1 species
GAUGAACGCUGGCGGCGUGCCUAAUACAUGCAAGUCGAACGAGGUGCUUUUGUAGCAAUAUGAGAGUAUCCUAGUGGCGAACGGGUGAGUAACGCGUUGGUGACCUACCCCAAAGUGUGGGAUAACAGUCCGAAAGGAUUGCUAAUACCGCAUGUGGUUAUUGGAUUUAGAAACCGAUAACUAAAGGAGCAAUUCGCUUUGGGAGGGACCUGCGUCCCAUCAGCUAGUUGGUGAGGUAACGGCUCACCAAGGCGACGACGGGUAGGGGACCUGAGAGGGUGACCCCCCACAAUGGAACUGAAACACGGUCCAUACACCUACGGGUGGCAGCAGUAGGGAAUAUUGCACAAUGGGCGAAAGCCUGAUGCAGCAACGCCGCGUGUGCGAUGAAGGCCUUCGGGUCGUAAAGCACUUUUCUGAGAGAUGAGAAAGGACAGUAUCUCAGGAAUAAGUCUCGGCUAACUACGUGCCAGCAGCCGCGGUAAAACGUAGGAGGCGAGCGUUAUCCGGAUUCACUGGGCGUAAAGCGCGUGCAGGUGGUUCGGUAAGUUGGGCGUGAAAUCUCCCGGCUC